GGUACCCCAGACUUCCAUGGCUUGACGGGCGGUGUGUACAAGGCCCGGGAACGUAUUCACCGCGCCAUGGCUGAUGCGCGAUUACUAGCGAUUCCAGCUUCAUAGAGUCGAGUUGCAGACUCCAAUCCGAACUGAGACCGGCUUUCGAGAUUCGCAUCCUGUCACCAGGUAGCUGCCCUCUGUACCGGCCAUUGUAUUACGUGUGUGGCCCAAGACGUAAGGGCCGUGAUGAUUUGACGUCAUCCCCACCUUCCUCUCUACUUGCGUAGGCAGUCCCAACAGAGUCCCCAACUGAAUGAUGGCAACUGUUGGCAGGGGUUGCGCUCGUUGCAGGACUUAACCUAACACCUCACGGCACGAGCUGACGACAACCAUGCAGCACCUUGAAAAUUGCCCGAAGGAGGAUCUAUUUCUAAAUCUGUCAAUUCCCAUUUAAGUCUUGGUAAGGUUCCUCGCGUAUCAUCGAAUUAAACCACAUAAUCCACCGCUUGUGCGGGCCCCCGUCAAUUCCUUUGAGUUUCAUCCUUGCGGACGUACUCCCCAGGUGGCUAACUUAUCACUUUCGCUUGGUCUCUGAACCCGAAGAUCCAAAAACGAGUUAGCAUCGUUUACGGCGUGGACUACCAGGGUAUCUAAUCCUGUUCGCUCCCCACGCUUUCGUCCAUCAGCGUCAGUUAAAUCUUAGUGACCUGCCUUCGCAAUCGGUGUUCUAAGUAAUAUCUAUGCAUUUCACCGCUACACUACUUAUUCCAGCCACUUCAAAUUUACUCAAGGCCUGCAGUAUCAAUGGCAGUUUCAUAGUUAAGCUAUGAGAUUUCACCACUGACUUACAGGCCCGCCUACGGACCCUUUAAACCCAAUAAAUCCGGAUAACGCUCGCACCCUCCGUAUUACCGCGGCUGCUGGCACGGAGUUAGCCGGUGCUUAUUCGUACAGUACCUUCAGCUGCCCUCACGAGGGCAGGUUUAUCCCUGUACAAAAGAAGUUUACAAUCCAUAGAACCGUCAUCCUUCACGCGGGAUGGCUGGAUCAGGCUUCCACCCAUUGUCCAAUAUUCCUCACUGCUGCCUCCCGUAGGAGUCUGGUCCGUGUCUCAGUACCAGUGUGGGGGAUCUCCCUCUCAGGACCCCUAAAGAUCAUCGACUUGGUGGGCCGUUACCCCGCCAACUAUCUAAUCUUGCGCGUGCCCAUCUCUAUCCGCCGAGGCUUUCAAUGGCGACCGAUGCCGGACACCAUAUUAUGGGGUAUUAAUCUUCCUUUCGAGAGGCUAUCCCCCAGAUAAAGGCAGGUUGCACACGUGUUACGCACCCGUACGCCGCUCUCUGGAUAGCAA
rnacentral:rRNA from 1 species